ensembl:lncRNA
CUGCGGACCGCAUUUCAAAAUGAUAAAUGAUGAUUAAUCGCCUAUUUGUAAAGUGUCAUAUCCCAAUCUUUGAACUGUCUUUAAACCAGAUCCCAAAACGGUCCCACAGCUCCUUUAAAUCCAGAUUAAAGACUUUUCUGUUUGCUGCUGCCUUUAAUUGACCGUUUCUGCAAGUCAGAAUUCUAAGACAUUCUUCACAUUACACACAAUUUCAUUCUAUUUCAAAUCUUUUAAUGUCUUUUUUAUCCAUUUAAUGACUAAUAAUAAUAAUUUCUUAUGUUUAAAUGUAUCAAUGUCGUUAAUUGUUAAUUGUAUGAAUCUGCUUGCUUUAUGUUUGCUUUUAUGGUCUUAUGUGGAGCACUUUAAAUUCCCCUGUUGUUGAAAUGUGCAAUACAAAUAAAAUUGCCUUUCCUUAUUAUAGGGUUUGAGCGACUCAAUCCUGGAGCAAUAUAUUGAGUUCUUAUAAAAGAAAUCAAAGAUUUCUCCAAUAUUAACUAUUCCCUGAAAAACUGAAAGAAAUAGUUGGGUUUAAUCAUCCUUUUUCAGUACUCUAAAAACACAAUUUCAGAAGUCAGAAAAAUUGGUGUUAUUUAUUGGUAAGCGCUGCAUAAAUUUCUUAUGAAAUUUUAAACCUGCACAUUACAAGUAGAAUGUCUGUUCUCUUCAUUGUCUUAACCUGCAAGUGCACGUAUAUGAGAAAAUCCCCAAGCACUCAAUAAUUCAAAUCGCUCUUUUCACAUGCUGAUGACGAAUAUGGUACAAAUCACCGAUCUACUUUCCCUUAGACUUAGCAGAAGAACAGCUGUAUCUCAAGAAAGAGAAGCACAAUAAACCAAACAGCUUACUCUUUUGGGCCACCUCGAUCUUCCCCUAUUUCACAGUUCCAUAUAUGCAUCUAAAACCAAUCCUUCCAUCCCAAAAUCAAUCCUUCAUAACAAGAGUUACUCACCCGCGUUGUGGGCGUUCGGCCGAUGUAAGGAUUCUGGACUACACUGCUCAUUUUAAAGCUUGGUGAUAGAUACGGUAUUAUGUGUUUUACCCGGUCUAAUGCCUAGCAGAGCCACCUCUGGAUUGCUAUCAAAGUAGUUGGUGGAGGAGUUACUAUGGUUUUCGACUCCCUCCUACAUGGUCACACGACAGACAAAGAGCCCUAUCAGCAACCCUGCCUACACUGCAGGGGCCAGGAAAUAAUUUAACAAGUAAAUAAUUUAUCUUGAAUCUAAAAGUAGCUUCUGCCCUAAAAGCUUGUGAUGGUCUGUAACUACAGAAAGCAUGCUGAAAGCUGUUCGCUUAGCUCUCUUAUUUAGCACAUGUACUUCUAUUUUAUGUAUCCACUGCAUGAUAUAUACACAGUAUGAAUACAUUUUUCCUGAGAGGAACAGGACCUAUAUACGCUGUACGUUAUUACAACAUGAAAGAAAAUUAUGUCAGUAAACUAAAUAGAUAUUAACCAAGUUAUGGUAUAAUGUCCAGUCAGAACGUUUACAGACCAUGCACCGCUAAGAUGAUUGUCUGACCAGAGGUGUCAAAAGUAUUCACAUUCAUUCCUCACGUAUAGAUACUAGGAUUUAAAAAGACUUCUGUUGAAGUAUCAACUCAACCUUUUUACUUCAGUAAAAGUAUAAAAGUACUGGUUUCAAAACUACUAUUCUGAAGAACCUUUCGAAUCAUGGAUCUUUAAAGAACCAUUUCCUUAAGCGGUUCAUUAAAGACCUACAAAUGAGCCUCAAAGAACCUUAAAAUAAUGAGAAUGUUCUUUGAAGCACCAUUUCUGGUUCUUUUAAAGAACCUUUUCCAAAAAUAUUACAGAUCAAACCUUUUUUAUAUUGUUGUAAAUUGUUACUACUAGAAGCUCCACUUCACAACAGAUAUGCGUUGUUGCACAUUAAAUGCUAUUUUGUUGACAAUGUUAAAUUACACAUGUCAUUUUUUAAUGUACUUAAAAUAUAUUGAAUACAAAAAAAAAUUAAGUUGCUCCCCACAAGCACAAAUGACUAACGUUAUGCAAACAGCUGUGAUGCUUUUUCUUUGAAGACCAAUGGUAGGAGGAGUAUUACUGGUAUUCAGUGAGUAAUUACUGAGUAUUUGCUGGCCUGUUUUGGAGGUGACAAACAGCAUAAUUGGUAUAUGCACAGUAAAGGAAACAGGUCUAUUUUAUCUAUGUAUUAUUUAUUAUAUUAGUCAUUUCUGGCCAUUUUGAUUUUUUUAGAUCCAUUAUACUUGAGUAAAAAAAAGCUCAAUUAAUAAGUGUAAUUUAACUUUCCAUAAUCAAAAACACACUCUCAGUGCAGUGAUCAUCUACAGCUAUCUUAAAAAAACAUAAUCUAUUUCUGUUGUUGCCUUUGUAACAUUCGUCUCUGCUGAAUAAGACUGCGGUCAACUCAGCAGACACUUGGAUUUUCGUGGUCAACUUGAAUUGGAUAGUAGUGCAUGUGCUGAUAUUUACGGUAUUGAACAAGUAACAUAAAAGCGGUUUAAUCAAAUAUUCUGGACAAUGACUGAAGUAUGUGUGUUCAGGACCAUUCUGACUACUAUUGUACAAAAAAGGAACGUUUACUGUACAAAGUUAGAUAAUUAUCCUAUAUUUCAAGUUCAAAAGGACCAUUUUGAACUGCAAUAAAAAUACUUUUCUCAAUAAUUCCAGUCAAAGACCAUAUGUACCUGUGUUAAGGACCUCUGACUACUAGCAUGCUGAAUUUAAAACAUUUUUACUGUACAGAUUGAGAUUUCUGCAAAGUAAAAGCCUAAUUUUUAAGUUUCAAAACACAAUUUCUCAAAGUUUGAACUGCAAUAAAAACCGAUUUAUCAAUAGUUCCAAGGCAAGACCAAUGUACCUCUGUUAAGGACCUCUCUGACUACUACGAUGAUGUAUAUCAAGUAUUUUUACUGUACAGAUUAGUAGUAAAAGCCCUUUAACUGCACGUUCAAAAAGACCAUAUCCCCAUUUUUGAAAUGCAAUAAAAACAGAUUCAUCAAUAAUUCCAGACAAAGACGUACAUUUAUCCAUGGACAGACUACAAUGGAUGCCAUGUGUACAGAAUGAACAAUGUAUAAUACACUAAAUUCCUAUGACAGAAAUGAUUCAAGUAAUUGUGAGUAGUAAGUCAGGCGCACAGCAGGACCACUGCAGGGACAACCACCAUCAGAUAGAACCACCAUCCACAGAAGCCUGUGGGAAGGGAAAGGACAAAGACUUUAGGAGAGGGUAAUGUUGGUUUGUGAUUACAGUAAUAUGAUUAAUAUUUAAAAUAAUGAUGAUGAUGGCAGCAGCAGAUGUCAGCAGGGCCACGGCAGGUGUCAGGACCAGGGUCCAGAAGGAACUACAAUCUACGGAGACCUGCUAGGGGAGAAAACCAAAAAUAAAUGAAAACUUCAAUCUCAGGAAAAUCUAGGCAGCAAAGGUGUCUUAAAUGGCUGCCUAGAGCCUACCAACAAAAUAACCAAAAUGAACAGAUAAUAGAAUUGCAACAAAAAUUUGUUAAUUAAAAAUAAAUAAACCAAAAUCAUAAUUAAAUAAACCCAUAAACAUAAACCCCAAUCUCCAUACACAUAGUAGCAAGCACGGGCAAAC